rnacentral:rRNA from 1 species
UAAGGAAUAUUGGGCAAUGGACGCAAGUCUGACCCAGCCAUGCCGCGUGAGGGAUGAAGGUCCUCUGGAUUGUAAACCUCUUUUAUUGGGGAAGAAAUGUCCCGUUUCUACGGGAUUUGACGGUACCUAAGGAAUAAGCACCGGCUAACUCCGUGCCAGCAGCCGCGGUAAUACGGAGGGUGCAAGCGUUAUCCGGAUUUACUGGGUUUAAAGGGUGCGUAGGCGGGCCUGUAAGUCAGUGGUGAAAUCUCCGGGCCUAACCCGGAAACUGCCAUUGAUACUAUGGGUCUUGAAUACAGUUGAGGUGGGCGGAAUGUGUCGUGUAGCGGUGAAAUGCUUAGAUAUGACACAGAACACCGAUUGCGAAGGCAGCUCGCUAAACUGUGAUUGACGCUGAGGCACGAAAGCGUGGGGAUCAAACAG